rnacentral:snRNA from 1 species
GUGCUCACCUUGGCAGCACAUAUACUAAAAUUGGAAUGAUACAGAGGAGAUUAGCAUGGCUCCUGUGCAAGGAUGACACGCAAAUUUGUGAAGUGUUCCAUAUUUUU